GAGAAUUCCUCCCUCUCUCCAACUACAUCUGCCCUCUCUUCCCCUCUCUCACAUUUCACUUCCCCGCCCUGACUCUAUAAGAGAGUGCGUCUGAUUCUCCUACUAGAGGUGUGUUGAGAGAGAGAAUUUUCGGGAUGUUCUAAUCCUCCAGCCUGAAAGCAAAUGAAGAGACAGCCUGUUGUAGAAUCUGUCUUGAAGCCCUCAUUCCCGGGGGGAGAGAACUCUCUUUGGAAAGAGGCAGAGAAAACCUGGCAUCCCAAGGCAUCAAGAUGGGAGGCAGGGGGGAGUCUGAGGGCUCUACCCUCCCACGCAUCGGGCAACAAGCUCUCCCUCUCGGAGUCCCACGUCUCCCAGCUCUGUCUCUGUGGGUGCAGCCUGAGGACAAAGGCAGUGAUGCACCCCCGGCCCCCUCCAGUCUCCCGCUCAGUGUCUCGGGUGCUCCCCAGCUUGUCAUCAGGGAGGAAGCAGCUGUCUCCGGCCAUUGACUUCAAAUCUCAACUCUCCCAGAGCUUUCCAAAGCCCAAGGUGCAGUCCCAGCUGCUAUCUUGGUGCAGGUCAAGAGCUUCCUGCAAUGCCAUGCCGCUAUGCAAGUCGGCGCCCAUGGGCAUGUGGCCUCAAGGAUUUCUUGACCCACUCACCAAGACCUUGCCAGAGGAAUCCCUUCACACCUCUGUCCCACUGGGAGAGAGCCAUUUCCUCAGGCAGCGAGCCAUAUUCCCAAUGAUACCACUUGUGGAGGGUGGCAAUCCCCAGUCCUCUCUAACAUCCUUGUUUAAAUAAAAAUAUAUUUAGUCAA